AUCAAAAUAAAUUCAAAACUGGAAGUGAGCAAAUUGUGGAAAAUUGUAUGUUAUAUGAACCAUAAUAUGUCCAGAAAAACUUAUAAAAAUGUAGUAUAUAAUUCAACAUGUUUAGUAUGAUCAAACUAAUAAAACAUGUAACCACAAUCUUACUCUAGAAGCAAAGAAAUAAAAAGAAUGCAGAAUAGAACCGACAACAACAGUAGGCCCAAGACCACAAUUAAUGACCCCGCUUUUCGUUGUUCACGAAUAUAGUUCCCUUUAAUUAUAGUGUAUUUUUUCUUUAUUUUUUUUCUUUCCCUUUCUCAUUCAUUUCUUAGCUUUUCUGGGGUGGGAAUGAAAGAAGAGAGCUGAAAUAAACUUUUGGAUGUUUUAUUUUAACUGAUUUUAAUAAGGAAAGAGUGAUUAGGCCAGGUGCAAAAAGGUUAUAUUUACACUUUUCGGAACAUCUCUUGACUUGCCUAUAGGGGUAUGGAUGUGUAUUGGCCAAAUUUGUAUGAUGUAAACAUGCAAUUUUUCUGAAAAUUGCAUAUGUUUUGGGACUUGAACUGUACAUUACUCACACAAAAAAAUAGACAAAAAGAACAAUUGAAUUUUUUUUAAUGCGACAAAACGUUAUAAAGAAAUGAUAGAAGAAUUAAUUGUGGUCUCGGGCCUAAGAGGUGCAUUUCAGCAAAUUUUGAAUUUAUACUUUGACAACUUCUCUGAAUGAUCUAUUGGUAUUUAUUUGUCAAACUAUGUGAGAAGACAUGGUUUCCACUUUUAUUUGAUAGAAAUUUGUAAAAAAAGUCACUUUUCAGCAAAUAUGCCCAAAAAGUAGCUUUUUCACUUUUUUCAAUAUUUUUGCAAAAGCAGCAUUCUUAAUUUUUCUCUGACAUUUUUUUUUCUGAUAUCUAUUUGUGUUUGUGGUAUUUAUUUCAUGUGUUUUACUCAUUUGUGAACUCUGAACACAAAGAAAGGUGGAUAAAAGCAUAAAAAGAGUGCAAAAUGUGCUGUUUUAAUAGUCUAGGUCUAGCGGUCCGUACGAAGCAAGUGAAAUAUGAAGUUCUAUGCACUUAAAAAUUGUAUUUCUUUAAACAGAUUGCACUGAAUCUAUAUCAAAAGCACUUAUUACUGGUUGUUUAAACUUGUCUGUUUCACAGAAUACCUUUCUUUUCUUCUUUUGGAUGGCUGGUGGUUAAAAUAUUGGCAUUUUAAGACUGAAAUUUCAUGCAGGUUUUAAACAGUAAAUUGAAAAAACUUUGCAUCAGACCAUACUGUCUACAUAUAUAGUUAAAAGCAACAGUCUUGUUACAUCCAGGCUUCAUAUUUGAUCAUAUCUUAGCAAGGAUUUGGGCAAAAAGAAGCAUAUUUCCAUCUCCAAUAUCAUUUAUAUGCAAUUAAAUAUGGAAAUACAGGGAACGGCC
rnacentral:lncRNA from 1 species